UGUUCUCUGUUUGGUAUUAUUGCAAAGCGAGAGAGAGAACUUUUUUGUAUGGUAGAAAAAACUUGGCUUGGCUUCGAAAUUGGCCAGGCCGGCAAAGCCCUUCGUUGGAAAGUUGUGCCCGUCUGUCGUAGGGUUCCGAUGGCAACCGAACGGCAGGCAGGCAGGAAGGCAGGCGUUUUAUAUAAGAAUAGUUUGCCCCGAUAGUCGGUCCUAUCUCAGUGCCGCCACCGCCACCGCCACGGCCCCCCCGCUGGAGGCAUUGUCUGGGUUGGGGGCCCUGUUGCUGAUGGAUGGAAGAUCCUUCGUUGGCGGCAAGCUAAUUGCCGGUGAAAACUUCUCAAAGAAAGCAAUCUCUGGGCUCGUCGGAAAAGUUAAGCCUUAAACACAUGUCCUUCAAGAAGGAUUACAGGGUAUUGUGCAUAUUUUGCAUGCCAUUUACCGUUCAUUGUUCACAUAAUCAAUACAAGACACUGUGAAUGCCACUUUCCCCCUAAUGAAUUUCGACAUCAUCAAAGGGAAAUAUUUAUGCCCAACUGUUUGCCUUUGAGGGACAUUCAUGUGUGCAGAAUCAGCAUUUGUUAUCAUUAAUUAAUCAUCACAGGACUUGGGUUUCUAGGUGUCCAAAUUUCAGGCCACCAUUCAUCAAAAGGAUGUUCUUUAUUUCAAUUACUUUUCAUCAUAUUAAAAUCUGUGUACCAAAAAGUUCUUGGAAACGAAGAAAUGUAUGUGGUUGAUUUUGAGGCAGGCUGUCUUUCUGUCUUUCGACCGAUUUUAUGCCCAGUAUUCAAUGACAGUCUUUAGGUUUUUGUGUAAUAUAUAGAAGAAAGGACUUUGUUUCUUACCAUAGCAAAUAUACUGCAAAAUAUGUUCUUUUACAGCUGAAAGAAUCUUGUAUUUUCCUCCUCCAAAAAGACUACUCUUUAAGAUAUUUUCCAUCCUUUCCCUAGGCGGAAGUAUCCCCUAAAUCUCUAUGUUUAAUUUGGGAUAAAAUCCCACAAUAAACCACAACAAAACAGUCCAUUAUGCACACUGUGUGUAUUUUGUUUUUGCACUCUCGGUCCCCAGCCUCUGUCUGGAGUCUCACGGCUUGAAAGCGGCAACGAAAGCAGAAGCAUGUCCAUCGCUGCUCCAACCACCCA
rnacentral:sRNA from 1 species